rnacentral:rRNA from 1 species
UACGUAAGGACCGAGCGUUGUCCGGAAUCAUUGGGCGUAAAGGGUACGUAGGCGGUUAGAAAAGUUAGAAGUGAAAGGCUAUAGCUCAACUAUAGUAAGCUUUUAAAACUGUUUAACUUGAGAGAUGGAAGGGAAAGUGGAAUUCCUAGUGUAGCGGUGAAAUGCGUAGAUAUUAUGAGGAAUACCGGUGGCGAAGGCGACUUUCUGGGUAUAAACUGACGCUGAGGCACGAAAGCGUGGGUAGCGAACAGG